GGGCGGGGCCCGCAGCUGCAGAGCCUGCGAAGUGUAGGGGGGAGGGGAAGGAGAGGGGGAGGGGACGGUUCUGGAAGCUGCUGGAAAGCGCUUGAGCGACGGAGGUGACGCCAGCGGCCAGGGGGCGGGGCCUGAUUAAAAUUAGUGCGCGGAGGGAUUACGCGGCCGAGGAAGCGGCCGCCGGCACGCAGGCCUAGUGACCAGCGUGUGGUCCCCGUCCCCCCUCCCCCGGCCCCGCCAUCAUGGCGGCCGGCGUGAGCGGGGACCGUGGCUCCCUCAGUGUGUCCUCCCGGCCGGGGCGCCGCCGUACGUGUUCACAAAGGGUCACCACACACGGAGCUGCCCCUCCCUUCCCUAAACCCCUCCUUGGAGGCCAGGGGCUUUUCCUUUCUUCCCUCUCAGAUCUGCUCACGAAAAAAGAAUAACAGUGACCAACAAAAUGGAGGUGGGACGUGGAGAUAAGAAGAAAAUCCCCUUUAUGCCAGAGGCCUGGAGACCUUAGCUGAGAAGAUACCAUGCGCUUCUGCUAGUUCUUCCCAAUGUAUUCAGAAUGCCCAUUUUUAUAUAUACUGGCCCCAAAGGAAGUGACACCUCCAGUAGGUUAAGGCCGGAAGUUUAUCUACUUCCACUUAGAAACUCACAUUCUAUAAAAGGAAGCUUUUGUGCCCUGCAUAUCAUUUUAUGGGCUCUUAGACUCUUCUAUGUUGUAUUUCUUAAACCUUUAGCCCCAACCAGGGAUAUAAAUUCUACCUCAGAGCCAGGUAUGGGGUGAAUACCUCUGUAAUCCCAGCACUCAGGAGAUGAGGGCAGGACAACCUUGGAUUGGAGGCCAGCUUGGGCUUUAUUAUAUUAACAAAUGAGUCCAUAACAGAUUUGAGACCCUGUCUUAAAAUCAAACCCAAAAUCUUACCUACUGUGAUUAUUUAUUCUGGUCUCAUUAAAAAAUUACUGAGUUGGAGAAAUGACUCCUUCAGUAAAUUACUUGACUUAACCAUAAUGAGGUCCUGAAUUGGAUCUCCAGCAAUUAUGUAAAAAGCCUGGCCCAGGUGUGUAGACCUAUUAUUCUAGGCUGGGAAGGGACAGACUGGCCAUUCAGCUGAGCUGAAUCUGAGCACCAGAUUCAGUUAGAGACCCUUUCUCAAAAAAUGAGGCAUGUACAAUUUCUGGGAUGUGAAAAGCUUUUGUCCGGGUAGUCAUAUAUGAAGCCAGGCGUUACAUUAGUUGCCCCAAGGUGUUGUUUUAGACUCUUAAAACUUUUAGGUAGACCAUGAGAGCUCAUGUGUCCACACACCUGGUUCUCCUUUCCCCAAAUGAGCAGCUAAUAGAGUCACAGAGGAGGUUCUGGAGUGUCUGAUGUCGAGUUCUGUCUCCUUUGCUGUGUACUUUAUGCAGGUGGUUUAAUUUUGGUGCCCCGCGUUUACACAUCUGUACAGUGAGAAGUUUGGAGCAGAUCAAUAGCUUAAGGAAAUUCCCUUACAGUUCUAAACGUUACCUGCAGAUACGUACUCUUGGGACCACCACCUACGUUUUACAAUGUUUUCCACGAAGGACAUCAUCCAUCUCUGCUGUCUUGCUGGUCAGUUCAUUGAUUAAAUUAGUAGUACUUAGCUCAGUGUCACACGGUGAUCACAGGGUGAAAAUCUUCAUGCUACAUCUGGCUGUCAGUCACCCAGUUCCCUGCCUAGGAUCAGUAAAAGCUAUGGGGGGCUGUAGUAUGCAUAUGUAAAUAAACAAGUAAAAACUAUUAGGAUAUGUCCCCCCCCUCAUUUAUGUGUUGCAUAAUACGCCCCUGUUUACCUUACAUGUUUGUCUUAGAGGUAGUUUCCUAUUGUGUCCACCUCUUCUGUUUUGGAAUAUUUAAGUUUCUUUCAGAUCCUGUUUUGGUUGCUUUUGUUGUUGCUAUAAUAAAAUACCCUGAUAAUAGCAACUUAAAGAAGAAAAGGGUUUAUUUUGGCUCGCAGUUGCAGGCUAGUAGCUAGCGGGGAAGCCACUGCAGCAGGCACUUGAAGUUGUAGGUCACAUUGGGUGUGCAGUCAAGGAGUAGAGAGCUAUUUUAAGUCUCAUUAAGUUGCCAUUACUGAGUAGGGUCAGCAGGAUGGCUCAACGAGUAAAGGCACUUGCUGCUAAUCCCGAUGACCUGAGUUCAGAUCAUGGGACCCACAUGGUGGAAAGAGAAAACUCAAAAGUUGCCCUCUGACCUCCACAGUGUGCCGUUGUUGCAUGUGUAUACACACACUAAAUAAAUUAAAAUGGGAUAAAAUUGUACAGCCUUUUAAUUUUAUCAUAUAUUCAUCAUCUUCCACAUGUGUGAAUCUAUCUGUGCCCUAAGUAGCACAACUGACAUCUGUCUGCUUUGGCUUUUGCAUCUCUGCUGGGGUCACGGGAUUGGCUAGUGAUGCCAACAUCCUGCCUGAGUCUAAAGUGAACAAAAUAGAUUAAUCCUAUCAUCUGAGUGACGUGACUUCUUCAUUUGAAACUAGAGGAGGAAAAGGGGUGGACUGUGGUUAGGGGCCUUGAUCCAACAGACAGACUUACCUGUCUUUGAGCAGUCAUGCAGCAUGGCAGGACGACAGUGAGGCCCGUGAGUUAGCGCAGACUCAUGCUCAUGCACAUCAAAUCCUAGUUACGCUUAGUUUUUCUUUUUAACAGUUUUGCUCCACACAUGUAUUUGGAUUUAAAAUGCACCUUCUUUGUAUUGCCACUUUAUUAAAGAUUUACUGUCAUUAGUUUUUUAAA